AAGCAGGACGCGUGUCGACCGGGCCUAUCGUCUAUGCCUUUUCUUUUGCCUUCUAUUGGAAACGACGUCGUAUGGUUCCUUUUGUUUUGUUCCCCUGUGUUCGCCCGUGCAGGGAAGAAACCUAUUUCUUUAUUUCCGUUCCAUUUGCUUCGCUCGUCAGAGGAAAUUCGAGAGUUUUCCCGACUUCGAACGAGGUAGUCUCACGCAAAUCAUUUACUUUUAGUUUUAAUCUACAAAAGGAAGGAUAUUGGCUCAAAGGGUUUGGGAAGAGUGGAUUUGGGUAGCUCUAUUUCUAUUCACGCUUCUUAUAAGUACAUUCAGUUUUAAAAAUAAAAUUUUAGUAUAUUUUAAAUCCUAUAUAACUUUACUUAAAUAAACAUAAACAGAAUUAAAUAAAAAUAUAUAACUCUAAAUUGAUCCACAAAUUUUUAUUUCUAUUAACUUAUUCUAAAUUUUUUUUUAUUCUUUUAGAAUUUAUGUUUAAUUAGAAUCUUAAUAGAUUAGAAAAAAUUACAUGAAUAUAAUUAUAGGUGCCUUUGAUAAAUUGAGUUUUAUGAAUAAGAAUGAUAAAAUUUCUAAUAAACAUUAUUAACAUGAUUAGCUGAAUAAUAUAUGUUCAUUUAAUGUUCAAUAAGUUCAACUUUGUUAUUAUUUCAUUUAUUUGGUUUAGAAGAGUUUAUAGUUUUAAGGAUUGUGUGAAUUUAUAAUGUUAGGGAUGUAUUUAAAAUGUGAUGAAUAUAUAAAAUUUACGUGGAUAUAUAAUAUUUAAAUGAAUGGAUUUAAUAAGGACAAGUUUGAAAAUAAUGUGGAUGUAAAUAGUAUUUUUUUAAAAUUUUAAAAUUUUAUUAGGGAUAAUUUAGAGGGGGGAUUUACUUGGAAAAAUCGUUGAUGGAAAUAACGGUGCCCAUGGAUUUUCCUAUGAGACAACAAGGGUUCUCCAAAUCGAUUCUUUUUCCUACAUGAUUUCUGAUUUUUUGUUGAGUAUUUCUUUGUUGUUGCAUUUUUUGAGGUAUUUACUUUAGGAUUUGUUUGUUUCUUCUGUGACUUUAUUUUUAUGUAAGAAGAUCUAAGUUUUGAAUCGAAGGUUUGGGGAAGAAGGGAUUUUCUGCGAGAAAGCAAACGGGUUAGCAAGUGUACUCCACAUCAGUUAUUUUUCUACAUGAUUUUUUAUUUUGUUGGAUAUUUUUCUUCGUUGUUGCAGUUCUUGAGGUACUUUGUUCAAGAUUUAAUUUUCUCACAAUUUUCAUAAUUUCUCUUUUCGUUGUCUAUACAGAAUCAUUUGACGGGAUCGAUAUUAUAUUUGUAGAUAUUAUGUUCUCACUAAACGUGUUUGUCGAAGUAUUCUUAUCCAAAAUGAGAGUUGAUCAUUUAUUUUUUUCUGAUUUGUAAAAAAAUGUUAUUUAUAAUGUUUUGGAAAAAAAAUAUAAGGUGCUAAAAAAUUGCUGCUAUUGAAUAGUUUCUUUGUUCUAGAAGUUUUAAACCUCAGUUUAUGAUGUAUUUGCCCAAAACAGAAAGAAAAAAGAUGGCACAUGAAACCUAUAACUUCACCACGAGCCAGACCCAUUUGUGUUUCAUCUUAACCUUCAAAACGAGCUUAGGAAAUGCCAUUUAAGCUUCAGCCUUUUUGAUUAAUUUUCUCCUUUAAACUCUCUUAGCAUUUGAGCAAAAAAUUCUUUGUUGCUCUUAUAGAACCUAGAGUUGAAACAGAGAUCGAGGUUACUAUUUCAAGGGUCGGUCCUUGUUAUGAAAGACCUCAAGUCUAGCUACAUUUGGAUUCCUCUUCGACAGAAUUGGUAAGUACUCUAUAUUAAUGCAUAUAUGAAACUUUAUCACAUACUCUGCAAGCGACGUGUGGAAUGCCACAUUCAUGUGUACCCUAGAUUCAUAGUUGUUUGGGAGAAACUUUUACACGUCCUAAAGAACAUGCUCUAAACUUUUGUUUUGGAUAUUUAUAUUAUUGUAGAAUAAAGGCCAGCCUACUGAAGAUACUGUGUUAUGACUAUGAGGUUCUCUUUUCUUUCUUCCUAUAACUCGUCUUUAUGUUACAAGAGGGGAAGAGGAUGCUGAUUUUCUUUUAUAAAAACUUGUAAUUUUUGACUUUGACUUGGAUAGUUACAUAUUUAUGUGUAUGAAGAUAUCUGGUCUGCACUAGAACAAAGCAUUUGAUAUUUUUUGUUUUACAUUAAGUACGCUAUGAGUGCAAAUCAUUGUCUAAUUUUUCUGAAUAUCAAGACAAACACCUCAGAUGUGCUGGAUACUGUGCAGAUUGAAACAUGUCUACAGUAGAUUAUUUCAUUGUUGUUAUGUUCAACGAUGUCUAACCUCAUAAUUGCCUAUUUAGAAGUUCAUACGCAUGCUGCAAUUCAUUUGAUAUCAUUAAUACAUAUAUUCAUGAUCUUAUGAUGUAUGAAUGUGGAAUGAAUGAUCGCUUGAUAAUUGUUUUUCCAUGCAUGUCUCUCUAUAGCUGUCAUUUAUUUUAGUUUGAUUGUGUUUUGUUGUCUUUUGACUUGGGGAUUUUGAAAGUCAUUGUGAACAAGCUAUUGAGUUAAAGUCUUAGUAAUUGCUUGCUCUUAAUUCUUUCCUUUAAUUUAGUUUACUUACUAUACUUUCAUUUUCAAUAUUACAGCACUAAAUGUUAAAGAUACAUUAUUAUAAGGACAAGGUAGUUACCUCAGAAAGUAUGCUAGAGAUUCUAUGCAAUAGAAAGUUAGAGCUAAAUUUUGCCUUGUAACUUAAGUCAGUGCCUAAAAAUUAAAGGUAAAACAUGUACUCUUUUCUCUUAACAAGUAAAAAAGUCCAACUAUAGAUCAAUCAUGUAACUAAACAAACUUGCCUCUAAAUAAAUGUGUAUAUGUGGAGUGUUAGAAGGGUGUACAAGCCUAUAAUAAAGUGUGGUUGACAUCUUUGCAUUGCUAAUUUACUAAUGCCUUUGAACUUUAUUCAAGUUUUUGAGUUAACAUUUGAGAUUUCAAUGUGGUGCAUUUGUGUUCUAUACCUCUCUCAUCUUUUACAUGAGGUAUAAACAACACAGUUUAAUUGAAGUUUAUGUGAAUUGAGAAACUGUAGAGCUAACAGUAACUUGCCUUUGAUGUCAUUCAAUUUUCAGCUGCUUCAAUUUUUAAUUAUUUCUCCCUUUACUUGAGGUGUAAGUGGCCUGGUUUAGUUAUCUAACAUAAGAAAGCUAUAAAAUGGCAGGGUAUUAUUUAGGCCCCGUUUGAGUCACAUUCUUUCAAACAAAUAUAUUCUUAAACAGUGAUUUAACAUCAUUCCAAUCACACAUCAUUCAAUAAAAUGAUAUUACAUGCAAAUCCAAAAUUUUUCUUUAUUUUUUAACCACACAUUUAUUAUUAAUACACUAUUUAAAAACGCAUUCUUAAGAAAACAAUCUGGGUCAAACAAGGGCUUAUUAUUUAAUUGUUGGAGAAAAAUACUUUACAAAUGAUAUAUGAGAAGUAUGAUUAGGCUUUGCCAUUUUAAAUGUUAAAUCUACAAAUUCAGUUCAAUUUUCAAAUGUAAUCAUCUCUGUUUCUUAUUUUACUUGCUUCUUUAAUCACAUCUAAUACAAUGGUGGAUGCUAAUCUUCAAAAGCUGCAUGAGAUUGUAACCAAGAAUUGUUAUCAUACAUUGACUCUCAAGAGUGUCCAUUCCAAAAGAAGACAAAAUAACUCAAAUUAGAAAUAUAGGACUUUUGCUUGUGGUAAGUAACCUUAUUUUUAUAUUUUAUCUUCCUAAACUCUCAAAUAUUUUCCUUGGUGUUUAUUUUUAAACAUACAUAUUAUUAACUCAUCCUUAUUCUGUUAACAUAGCAUAGCUUCUUUUGGUUAAAAGCAAAACCACAUAUCACACAUUAUGAUCAAUCUUUAUGGUACAUGUCUUGCAACAACUGCACGAAAUCUGCAUAUGCGAAUUUCGAUGAAAUCCAUUGCUGCUCAUUUUAGAAAAACUCUCAAGCACGUGCUGUUCGAAGGUAAUAAUUGCAUACACGUCAAUUAGAAUUUCAUACAGUACAUGCUUUUCCAACUCUUAUGUCAUCUAUCUAUGUUGUAUUGCCAUUGGGCAAGAGCUUCUAUCCAAUUGCAAGAUUCAUCAGGUUGUAUUGAUGCUACCAUUAUAGGAGAACCUGCUGAGAAGUUCUUACAAUGCUCUGCGCUUAUACUUAUGAAACAACUCUGAUACCUACCUCAAACAUAUUUUUAAAUUAUUAUGCUAUCAUAUAUUCAUUUACAUUGCUAAUUCUAGUAUUCCUAUUUCUGCAUGACAAAAACAAACCUCUCAGAAUGAAUCCAUACCUCAACAAAUGAAGAUCUAUUCUUCUAUGUAAAAGCUGUAAAAUAAAAAAAUGGAUAUGAAUACAAGUACGAAGUCAGCUCACUGUAGAUACAUCUUCAACAACAUGAAAGUUCACAUGUAAGCAUUGAUGGAAGCACAUUUCUAACUCCAUUUGUUGAAUCACUACACUUGAUGCAACAUGAUUCUAAUGAAUCAUCAGCUCGAAGGGUAAUAUUCUCAACUUCUAGUUCUUCACAUUCCCAAAACAAAGAAGAUGAAAGAAAAAUAGUGGUUAAGGCAAAGGCAUUGCAGUGAAUGAAUCAAUUGAUGAGAAUUUUGAAUGAUGCAGAAUGUUAAGCAUUGGAGAAGUUAUGCAAGUUAGAAAUGGUUUUUGUUUCUUCGUCUCUUUCCAGUUAGAACUGCAAGAUGUAGCAACAAAUAGAUCCUAGAAUUUGCAUAUGAAAUUUAAAAUAUCACUUGUAUUUCAAGCUACUCAUGAAGUAGUUAUUCAGCUAAACAUUGUAGUUUGGGUCUAUAACUGUUCUACAUUCAGACUUUGAUAUUCUGGUUAGUUAAAUGAAAUUGUGUGAUGGUUUUUGGAUCGUUAUUAUCUUUUUGGUUGAUGUUUGUGUACGCCUGUCUCCAUUGUGUAGAUUGUACAGC
rnacentral:lncRNA from 1 species